rnacentral:rRNA from 1 species
CCUACGGGCGGCAGCAGUGGGGAAUAUUGCACAAUGGGGGAAACCCUGAUGCAGCGACGCCUCGUGAGUGAAGAAGGAAUUCGUUAUGUAAAGCUCUAUCAGCAGGGAAGAAAAUGACGGUACCUGAGUAAGAAGCCACUGCUACCUCAGUGCCAGCACCCGCGGUAAUACUGAGGGGUCACGCGUUAUCCGGCUUUACUGGGUGUAAAGGGAGCGUAGACGGCAGUGCAAGUCUGGAGUGAAAGGCGCGGGCUCAACCCCCGGAAUGCCCUGGAACCUGUGCGGCGUGAGUGCAGGAGAGGAAAGUGGAAUUCCUAGUGUAGCGGUGAAAUGCGUAGAUAUUAGGAGGAACACCAGUGGCGAAGGCGGCUUACUGGACUGUAACUGACGUUGAGGCUCGAAAGUGUGGGGAGCAAACAGGAUUAGAUACCCCAGUAGUC